GUAGUCCAUGCCGUAAACGUUGGGCACUAGGUGUGGGACCCAUUCCACGGGUUCCGUGCCGCAGCUAACGCAUUAAGUGCCCCGCCUGGGGAGUACGGCCGCAAGGCUAAAACUCAAAGGAAUUGACGGGGGCCCGCACAAGCGGCGGAGCAUGCGGAUUAAUUCGAUGCAACGCGAAGAACCUUACCAAGGCUUGACAUACACCGGAAACAUCCAGAGAUGGGUGCCCCGCAAGGUCGGUGUACAGGUGGUGCAUGGUUGUCGUCAGCUCGUGUCGUGAGAUGUUGGGUUAAUUCCCGCAACGAGCGCAACCCUUGUCCUGUGUUGCCAGCGGGUUAUGCCGGGGACUCAUGGGAGACUGCCGGGGUCAACUCGGA
rnacentral:rRNA from 1 species